GACGAACGCUGGCGGCGUGCCUCAUACCUGCAAGUAGAACGCAGUUGCGAACGGGUGAGUAACGCGUAGGUAACUGCCUCAUCGCGGGUUAUACCUAUUGGAAACCAUAGCUACUACCUCAUCCUGUGAGAUGGACCUGCGUUGUAUUAGCGAGUUGGUGAGGUAAAGGCUCACCAAGGCGACGAUACAUAGCCGACCUGAGAGGGGGAUAGGCAAAACCGGGACUGAGACACGGACCAGACUCCGACGGGAGGAAGCAGGAGGGAAUCUUCGGAGAUGGACGGAAGUCUGACCGAGCAACGCAGAGUGAGUGAAGAAGGUUUUAGGAUCGUAAAGCUAUGUUGGUAGAGAAGCGGUAACUAACCAGAAAGGGACGGCUAACUACGUGCCAGCAGCCGCGGGAAUAC
rnacentral:rRNA from 1 species